CUACAUCUCUAGAUAACUUUUUAUGUGUGAAUUAUAUACCAAAAACAAAACUAGUUCUAUAUUUUUAUGCUGAUUAGUUAUAUAUGAAAUUGCAUAAAAUAUUGAACUCAUGUGUUAUUUUUUCUUUAUAUGAUUUAUACACUUUUUUUAAUCUGAAGCUGUACAAAUGAUCCCCAAAUGUAAACUAGCACCCACUUUCACCACUCUGUAUUGUAUACUGUUUAAUAGUAUGGGGGGAGGGUGCAAAUUUGUGGAUCAAAGAGAAAUAUUUUUGCGCUGGGUGUUUUUGUUCAUAUCAUAUAAAAGGUGAAACCGUCUUACUUAUCGCCUCCCUUUCAGACCUGGCUGUGGUUGAAAUAACCUGUGUGGUGCUAACCUCCUUAUAUCAGCAUAUGCAAUAAAAAUGGAAUAACUCGUGGUAGAGAGCCCAUCUACAAAGCAUUAGCUCCAGAAUAUAACUUGGGGCUUACAAUGUCAAGUCCUAUGCUACUCGCCAGACCUUAAGUUAGUCACAAACCUGGGGAGGCCAUUGCAUGUUCACCAGGGCUAUGUUUUUGACUUGCCAAUGGCUAAUUGAAAUUUUGAGCCCUGUAUUACAGAUCAGCUGUACAAUUAAAGCUUGAAAAAAAAGAAAAUAAAUUUUUUUAUAUACCAGUGGUUUCCAAACCAUUCAUCAAGGCCCUCACCCCCCACCAGUCCAGGACUUCAGGAUUACCCACUUGUCUUAGGUUUUGCCCUCCCCUUCUACUAAAAACACCUUGAACACAACUGGGUAAUCCCUAAAUCCUGGACUAAAAGGGUGCUUUGAACGGAUUUGGGAACCACGGCUAUAAACAGUUUCUGUGGAAAAGGUGAAGCAAUAUUGCCAAACAAAACGCUGUAUGCAAAGAGAGUACACAGAAAUAAAAAAAUAAAAAAAGUGUGAGGGUAACUGCUACGGCCUGAAAUGCACAUCUUGGAGAAACAUACUCCAGCCAGUUGGGGGGAAAAAAAAAAUACUUACUGUUUAAUAUGUUUAUGUAUAUUGUUAUACCAUAUCUUCCGGUCUCUUUUUGUGGGUUGCAAGCUCCAAACAGCAAACCAUUGGGUAGGAUAGUGCAAUCCCUAUGGGGCAAAUAAAACUCUCAUAGCUAAACAUGUUUGCAGGCUCUGUUUGUUCCG